rnacentral:rRNA from 1 species
AGUGAACGCUGGCGGUAGGCCUAACACAUGCAAGUCGAACGGCAGCACAGUAAGAGCUUGCUCUUACGGGUGGCGAGUGGCGGACGGGUGAGGAAUACAUCGGAAUCUACUUUUUCGUGGGGGAUAACGUAGGGAAACUUACGCUAAUACCGCAUACGACCUACGGGUGAAAGUAGGGGAUCUUCGGACCUUGCGCGAUUGAAUGAGCCGAUGUCGGAUUAGCUAGUUGGCGGGGUAAAGGCCCACCAAGGCGACGAUCCGUAGCUGGUCUGAGAGGAUGAUCCGCCCCACCUGAACUUAGGACACGGUCCGAACCCUAACGGAGGGCAGCAGUGGGAAAUAUUGAACAAUGGGCGCAGCCCGAUCCCGCCCAUACCGCUUGGGUGAGAAAGGCUUUGGGGUUGUAAACCCUUUUUGUUGGGAAAAAAAGGCGCCGGUUUAAUCCCCCGCUGUCCUGACGGUACCCAAAGAAUAAGCACCGGCUACCUUCUU